GACGGAAGGGGCAAGCGUUACUCGGAAUUACUGGGCGUAAAGCGUCUGCAGGCGUUCUUGUAAGUCUGGUGUUAAAACGCGGAGCUCAACUCCGCGCACGUGCCGGAAACUACAAGAAUUGAGUCACUCAGAGGCACCUGGAAUGCCGUAUGUAGGGGUAAAAUCCGUUGAUCUACGGUAGAACGCCAAAAGCGAAGGCAGGGUGCUGGGGGUGUACUGACGCUCAGAGACGAAAGCGUGGGGAGCAAACGGG
rnacentral:rRNA from 1 species